ensembl:lncRNA
AGGAGGUUGGCGAAGAUGGAGAUUUUCUGGCUCUGUCCAGGCUCAUCCAGCACUACGACGUGCGGCCGGAACCCGCAGACCCGCUGGUGGAGCCCAAGACUCGGACCCUGCUCAUCCCGGCAAAGCCCAUCAACCUCCGCUUCCUGCCCCGAGCCUGAGGGGGGGGGGGGGGCGCCACUCGGGACCCGCAGGGCCAGUCCGCCGAGAACACGUUCCCCGUCAGGCUCUCAGAGGAACAUCUGGGACGUGUCUACCACCUGGAGUCCCCUCAGGAAUCAGGAAUUGUUACCAGAAUAUCGGAGACAUUCAAGGAAUUUGACUUGUCGGUGCGACAUGGACAACAAGACCGAGGAGACAACGUGCUGCAACAAAAUAGCAUGUUCAAUUUACAAAUUGACGCUUUGACUCUACGGUAUAAAAUAUAAGACUAGAGGGAAAUAGAAUAAGCAGUUUGAAAAUAAAGGAUAAGAAGGAAUUUAAAAUAAAAGUUCAAACUAAAGUGCACCAGCGAACACACACCUGUGUGUGAAGGAGGCCGGUGUGUGUGAGCAGUGUGAAGGGAGUGACGUCGGUGGGAUGUCAGUGGGGGGCCGUGUGACAUCGAUAAGAUGCUUAUGAAUCCAGUGGAUCUGAAACAAGUUCUUCUUCAUCUUCUAGUGAAGCGUUUGUCUUCUCUUAAUCGUUACAGCGUGAUGAUCAGCUACUAACACGGAACAUUUAGUCCUCAUUUGUUUUCACGUAUAGUUUAAUAUUUGAUGAUUAUUGCUGCUGAUUUGUGUUUUUCUGGUUUCACAUUAAUUAGAUCAGAGUUUUAUAAGACUUUUAACAUCUUUAGGAAGGAGGGAAGAAGUCAAGUGAAACAGCGUGAGCUUUGACAUCUUAUAGUUUUAACACCAGAUUUAACAUUUUACUGAAGGACGACGUCAAAGGUUUCUGUUGUUUGAGAGGAGAUCAGUUCCCACAAUACAGCGCUCCAUGCGAGGUUACCAUGGUGACGGCGCCAUGACACCAAUAAAAACGUUACUGAUCCCUCCGAGCCGUCCUCAAUCUAUGACGUCAUUGGUAUCAGCAGCUUCGGCGUCUGUUUGUGGUCAAUCAGACCUGGAGAAGGAGUACACGCAGUAUUGCAUGUACUCCGAUGUAUGUAUCUGACAUAUCUGGUACUAGUACAGUAGUACUUCAACUUCAAGGAGUCUCAUGUAGACGCAAACCGUGCUCCAUUAUUUUGAAAGUCAAACAACUUCACUUCCGGUGGCUCUGACUUCGAUCAGCUGGUCAGCCGCGCGCACUGCAAAGGAUUUUGUGAAUUCAGGUGGCUUUUAUUGUGACUUCCGGUUGCACCACCUUCUACGGAAAUAUGAAGAAAGAUACGUGAUGAUGAAAUAAGCACGAGGGAGUCAACCUGCUGGUGCGUCAGAUAAUAUUUAUAUUUAUAUAUUUAUAUUUAUUUAUAUGUAUUUUGUUGGCUGUAUUUGGGAGCUCCGCCUCUAGGGGCCGCUGCAGAAUCUCUUCUGCUCUUUACACCAUCAGUUUCCAGGCGAAGACAUUUUUUGCAGCGAGGCCACCUUCUCCACCCGGCGCAC